rnacentral:piRNA from 1 species
UGGAAGAAUCAGAAUUUUGAAGGGUAUUUC